GAUGAACGCUAGCGGCAGGCCUAAUACAUGCAAGUCGAACGGGAUCCAGAUCAAAGCUUGCUUUGGUCUGGUGAGAGUGGCGCACGGGUGCGUAACGCGUGAGCAACCUACCCUUGUCAGGGGGAUAGCCCGGCGAAAGUCGGAUUAAUACCGCAUGACAUCAUUGAGAGGCAUCUUUCGAUGAUCAAAGAUUUAUCGGACAAGGAUGGGCUCGCGUGACAUUAGCUAGUUGGUAAGGUAACGGCUUACCAAGGCUGCGAUGUCUAGGGGCUCUGAGAGGAGAAUCCCCCACACUGGUACUGAGACACGGACCAGACUCCUACGGAAGGCAGCAGUAAGGAAUAUUGGUCGAUGGACGGAAGUCUGAACCAGCCAUGCCGCGUGCAGGAAGACGGCCCUAUGGGUUGUAAACUGCUUGUAAACGGGAACAAACGUCGGUACGUGUACCGGUCUGAGUGUACCGUAAGAAUAAGGAUCGGCUAACUCCGUG
rnacentral:rRNA from 1 species